AUUGAACGCUGGCGGCAUGCCUUACACAUGCAAGUCGAACGGCAGCGGACCUUCGGGUGCCGGCGAGUGGCGAACGGGUGAGUAAAGUAUCGGAACGUACCUUUCAGUGGGGGAUAACUGUCCGAAAGGACAGCUAAUACCGCAUAUUCUGUGAGCAGGAAAGCAGGGGAUCGCAAGACCUUGCGCUGAUUGAGCGGCCGAUAUCAGAUUAGCUAGUUGGUGAGGUAAAGGCUCACCAAGGCGACGAUCUGUAGCGGGUCUGAGAGGAUGAUCCGCCACACUGGAACUGAGACACGGUCCAGACUCCUACGGGAGGCAGCAGUGGGGAAUUUUGGACAAUGGGGGCAACCCUGAUCCAGCCAUGCCGCGUGAGUGAAGAAGGCCCUGGUUGUAA
rnacentral:rRNA from 1 species